rnacentral:rRNA from 1 species
CUUAACACAUGCACGUCGAGCGAUGAAGUUUCUUCGGAAAUGGAUUAGCGGCGAACGGGUGAGGAACACGUGAAGAAUCUGCCCUCCACUUUGGGAUAACACAGGGAAACCUGUGCUAAUACCGAAUAUUGAAACAUAAGUGGCAUCACUGAGUUUUGAAAGAAUUUCGGUGGAGGAUGACUUCGCGGCCUAUCAGCUAGUUGGUGAGGUAAUGGCUCACCAAGGCAACGACGGGUAGCCGGCCUGAGAGGGCGACCGGCCACACUGGGACUGAGACACGGCCCAGACUCCUACGGGAGGCAGCAGUGGGGAAUAUUGGGCAAUGGAGGAAACUCUGACCCAGCGACGCCGCGUGCGGGAUGAAGGCCUUCGGGUUGUAAACCGCUUUCAGUAGGGAAGAAGCGAAAGUGACGGUACCUACAAAAGAAGCACCGGCUAACUAUGUGCCAGCAGCCGCGGUAAUACAUAGGGUGCAAGCGUUGUCCGGAAUUAUUGGGCGUAAAGAGCUCGUAGGUCGUUUGUUACGUCGGAUGUGAAAACCUGAGGCUCAACCUCAGGCCUGCAUUCGAUACGGGCAAACUAGAGUUUGGUAGGGGAGACUGGAAUUCCUGGUGUAGCGGUGGAAUGCGCAGAUAUCAGGAGGAACACCAAUGGCGAAGGCAGGUCUCUGGGCCAAUACUGACACUGAGGAGCGAAAGUCUGGGGAGCGAACAGGAUUAGAUACCCUGGUAGUCCAGACCGUAAACGGUGGGCACUAGUUGUGGGGACCUUCCACGGUUUCUGCGACGCAGCUAACGCAUUAAGUGCCCCGCCUGGGGAGUACGAUCGCAAGAUUAAAACUCAAAGGAAUUGACGGGGCCCCGCACAAGCAGCGGAGCAUGCGGCUUAAUUCGACGCAACGCGAAGAACCUUACCAAGGCUUGACAUAUAGGGAAAAGUGGCAGAGAUGUCAUGUCCGCAAGGGCCCUAUACAGGUGGUGCAUGGUUGUCGUCAGCUCGUGUC